rnacentral:lncRNA from 1 species
CUUCCAGAUCUGCCGAAGAAUACUACUUCUACAAGCCGUAGUGUUGUCCGGUCAUCUUCUAAUCAAGUGAGUGUAGUUACUUUCUUCUAACGCAUAAUUAUGAAGUAUUUUAUACGAAAUAUGUGCUAUGUGUAUAAUAUAAAGAUUUUUAUAUGUGUGAGUGUGUGGUCACUUUCUUCUAACACAUAAAUAUUAAGNGUUACUUUCUUCUAACACAUAAACAUGAAGUAUUUGUUAUAAAAUACGUGCU